rnacentral:tRNA from 1 species
AAAAAUUUAGUUAAAAAAUAACAUUAGUUUGUCGAACUAAAAUUAACCUAGUUAAUUUUUU